rnacentral:misc_RNA from 1 species
GUCUCUUCCCGCACGCCCCACACAGAAUUUCGAUUUACCCGAUUAAUUUGGGUAAAAGACUGAAACUUGAGGAAUCUAGAUAGAUUCUGAAGAACCUCAAGAUCAUGGGCAGUUGUUUCGAGCUAGGGAUGUCAAAUCCUUGCCAUGAAGAUGCGUCUAAAUUGGAUAUGGGAAUUGGGCAUUUCGGUUGCUCGCACUAUAGAAGGAGAUGUAAGAUCAGAGCACCCUGUUGUGAUGAGAUAUUUGAUUGCAGGCAUUGCCAUAACGAAUUAAAGAACUCUAUGGAAGCGAAUCCCCUUGAUCGUCAUGACGUCCCUCGCCGCGAAUUGAAAAGGGUCAUAUGUUCCUUGUGUGGCACUGAACAAGAUGUUCAACAGCACUGCAUCCAGUGCGGGGUUUGCAUGGGGAAAUACUUUUGCUCCAAAUGCAACUUCUUUGAUGAUGAUGUUUCUAAGCGGCAGUACCAUUGUGAUGAAUGUGGAAUCUGCAGAACUGGAGGGGAGGAGAAUUUCUUCCACUGUAAUAGAUGUGGAUGUUGCUAUUCAAUCUUAUUGAAGGAUUCACACAAUUGUGUGGAAAGAGCAAUGCAUCACAAUUGCCCUGUUUGCUUUGAGUUUCUAUUUGAUACAACGAAAGACAUUACUGUCUUACCUUGUGGACACACGAUUCAUUUGGAAUGUGUUAAAGAGAUGGAGCGGCAUUUCCAGUAUGCGUGUCCUGUUUGCUCAAAAUCAUAUUGUGAUAUGUCUCGUGUGUGGGAAAAACUAGAUCAAGAGGUUGCUUCAACACCUAUGCCUCAAAUGUAUCAAAAUAAGAUGGUUUGGAUUCUUUGCAAUGACGGUGGGGGAAACAUCAGAAGUGAUUUUCCAUAUUGUAGCACAGAAGUGCCUAAGAUGCAAUUCAUACAAUACAAGACAGACACGAGGAGGUCCCACAUCUUGCACAUCAGGGUUUUCAGAGAUGGUGAGAUGAGUAGCUUCUGAUUAACAUUUAGUUCUUGAAGGCUCUGUUACAAUAAAAAAAAAA